GGAAACUUGAUGGCCAGUCCUUUGCCACGUCGAGCCUCCAGCUGCUCCACCUUGCUCGCUACCGGAGCAGCUUUUUUUUGCUCAGGGAAACUUCGGUAGACAAAUCCAAACGACUCCGAAGUCCCAUUUAAACACCAUCAGCCUGAUACGGCCUCAACGGCAGUGUUGAAUGAAAGGACGUCGGGGGAUGAAUUGGGGCUAGCCAGUCAAGAAGAAGAGAAAACAAAUCAGCCAAGAAGAAUAAGAGACAUCGCUGAAGACAGCAAGAUGUGUAGAAGAGAGAGGAGAUUGUCAAGUCGCAGGCCCCUUCAUCUAUCUCUGACAUGCUGCUUCUCCUCCAGCCCGCACAAACAGCCUGGUCAGCACUUUGUAGCAGUCAGACUAUAAGAGCAGAAGGAGCUGGACUCAGGAGUCUCAUACUGGAAUCGCAGUGAGUAUAGUUUAGAGUGUGUGUGAAUGAAUCAUGACAGCAACUUCAUACUGAGAUUAUCUGUGUGUGCAUGAGUAAAUCCGUCUCCACAGCAUCCUUCAAUUGCCCAGCCCGCCUGCCCAGUGUUCAGACUACCUGUUCAGGAAGUAGUGGUUGUACAGUAGUCUGCACAUUGGUUAGGCUGGCCGGGGAAGCACGGGACGACUCAAAGUGUCCGAAAGAGGGACACAAAAGAGAGCAAGAGCCCUCCAGAGGGCAUCCAGGAGGCACAAGCACAUUAGGAUGUGGUGACACGCAGCACUACCCCUCGAACAUCUGGACAAGCCCGGGCACAAGCCUAAAUAAAGCACUCCACAAAGGCUCCACCACAGAGGCCUGGCUCUCGCCUAUCCUGGAUUUAUGAGUGACGGACACAUGAAUCCCAAAUUAUUUUUUAAAACUGUUUACAGAGACAUAAGGGUUUCAGUUUAUUUUCCUGUUUUCUUUUUGUAUUGUUUUAUUUGUCAUUUAACCGAGAGUGAAAUCUGAUAAAACUGUAAAAGAAAUAGUUUGAAAUAGUUCAAAUAAAGAUGCUUGGAUAUCUA